AGAGCGAACGCUGGCGGCAUGCCUAACACAUGCAAGUCGAACGCCCAGCAAUGGGAGUGGCAGACGGGAUAGUAACACGUGGGAACGCGCCCUUCGGUUCGGAAUAACUCAGGGAAACUUGAGCUAAUACCGGAUACGCCCUUACGGGGAAAGAUUUAUUGCCGAAGGAACGGCCCGCGUCGGAUUAGCUAGUUGGUGAGGUAAUGGCUCACCAAGGCGACGAUCCGUAGCUGGUCUGAGAGGAUGACCAGCAUCACUGGGACUGAGACACGGCCCAGACUCCUACGGGAGGCAGCAGUGGGGAAUAUUGGACAAUGGGCGCAAGCCUGAUCCAGCCAUGCCGCGUGGAUGAUGAAGGCCCUAGGGUUGUAAAAGUCCUUUUAACGGGGAAGAUAAUGACGGUACCCGUAGAAUAAGCCCCGGCUAACUUCGUGCCAGCAGCCGC
rnacentral:rRNA from 1 species